rnacentral:rRNA from 1 species
UACAGAGGUCCCAAGCGUUGUUCGGAUUCACUGGGCGUAAAGCGUGCGCAGGCGGCUUUGCAAGACAGAUGUGAAAUCCCCGGGCUUAACCUGGGAACUGCAUUUGUGACUGCAUGGCUAGAGUGCGGCAGAGGGGAUGGAAUUCCGCGUGUAGCAGUGAAAUGCGUAGAUAUGCGGAGGAACACCGAUGGCGAAGGCAAUCCCCUGGGCCUGCACUGACGCUCAUGCACGAAAGCGUGGGGAGCAAACAGG